rnacentral:rRNA from 1 species
GGAGUUUGGACCGUGUCUCAGUUCCAAUGUGGGGGACCUUCCUCUCAGAACCCCUACUGAUCGACGGCUUGGUGGGCCGUUACCCCGCCAACAACCUAAUCAGACGCAUCCCCAUCCCUUAGCGAUGAAUCUUUGGUUCAACUCAGAUGUCCUCGUCGAACAACAUAGGGUAUUAAUCCGAUUUUCACCGGGCUAUCCCCUACUAAGGGGAAGGUUGGAUACGCGUUACUCACCCGUGCGCCGGUCGCCAUCAGUCAAAGCAAGCUUUGACCAUGAUGCCCCUCGACUUGCAUGUGUUAAGCCUGUAGCUAGCGUUCAUC